CCCUUAGAUGUUCUGGGCCGCACGCGUGCUACACUGAGUGGAUCAGCGGGUCAGGUUGCGCGAAAGUGUUUCCUAAUCUUUAAAUCCGCUCGUGAUGGGGAUUGACGGUUGCAAUUUUCCGUCAUGAACGAGGAAUACCUUGUAAGCGCGGGUCAUCAUCCCGCGCUGAAAACGUCCCUGCCCUUUGUACACACCGCCCGUCGCUCCUACCGAUUGAGUGGUCCGGUGAGGCUUUGGGAUCUGAGCGGAAAGAGCGUUUCGCUGUUUCUGCCCGGAAAACUCAGUCGAACCUUAUCAUUUAGAGGAAGGAGAAGUCGUAACA
rnacentral:rRNA from 1 species